UGGGGAAUAUUGCACAAUGGAGGGAACUCUGAUGCAGCGACGCCGCGUGAACGAAGAAGGCUUUCGAGUCGUAAAGUUCUUUUAUAUGGGAAGAUAAUGACGGUACCAUAAGAAAAAGCCCCAGCUAACUACGUGCCAGCAGCCGCGGUAAUACGUAGGGGGCUAGCGUUGUCCGGAAUCACUGGGCGUAAAGGGUUCGCAGGCGGAAUGCAAGUCAGGUGUAAAAGGCAGUAGCUUAACUACUGUAAGCAUUUGAAACUGCAUAUCUUGAGAAGAGUAGAGGUAAGUGGAAUUUUUAGUGUAGCGGUGAAAUGCGUAGAUAUUAAAAAGAAUACCGGUGGCGAAGGCGACUUACUGGGCUCAUUCUGACGCUGAGGAACGAAAGCGUGGGUAGCAAACAGG
rnacentral:rRNA from 1 species